UACGAAGGGUGCAAGCGUUAAUCGGAAUUACUGGGCGUAAAGCGUGCGUAGGCGGUGAGUUAAGUCUGUCGUGAAAUCCCCGGGCUCAACCUGGGAAUGGCGAUGGAUACUGGCUCGCUAGAGUGUGAUAGAGGAUGGUGGAAUUCCCGGUGUAGCGGUGAAAUGCGUAGAGAUCGGGAGGAACAUCAGUGGCGAAGGCGGCCAUCUGGAUCAACGACUGACGCUGAGGCACGAAAGCGUGGGGAG
rnacentral:rRNA from 1 species